AGUGAACGCUGGCGGUAGGCCUAACACAUGCAAGUCGAACGGCAGCACAGUAAGAGCUUGCUCUUACGGGUGGCGAGUGGCGGACGGGUGAGGAAUACAUCGGCAUCUACUUUUUCGUGGGGGAUAACGUAGGGACACUUACGCUAAUACCGCAUACGUCCUACGGGUGAAAGCAGGGGAUCUUCGGACCUUGCGCGAUUGAAUGAGCCGAUGUCGGAUUAGCUAGUUGGCGGGGUAAAGGCCCACCAAGGCGACGAUCCGUAGCUGGUCUGAGAGGAUGAUCAGCCACACUGGAACUGAGACACGGUCCAGACUCCUACGGGAGGCAGCAGUGGGGAAUAUUGGACAAUGGGCGCAAGCCUGAUCCAGCCAUACCGCGUGGGUGAAGAAGGCCUUCGGGUUGUAAAGCCCUUUUGUUGGGAAAGAAAAGCAGCAGGUUAAUACCCCGCUGUUCUGACGGUACCCAAAGAAUAAGCACCGGCUAACUUCGUG
rnacentral:rRNA from 1 species